AGUGAUAUCUGGUGAACCAGGUGUCCAGGGAAUUGGACCAUCCCUUCCAAUCCACCGGUGUGGAAAUGUUUGAUUUAGGAACCCACCAACAUGCAGUCCCCAAUGUGGUGGUGCACCAUCUAAUUAGAAGUUGAUGGUUGGUUGAAGGUCAUCCAGUUGUGAUGACACAUGUUCAGUCAAAAGGUCAAAGGUCAACAUUUGCAGUAUUGAUCUCUCAUUGAAUAAAAAUGGAUCAAUGAUUCGACUGCACAUGAUCCACAUUGUGAUUAAAAACUGUGAUAACCACUGAGUACAUAGAACAAAUCUGAUCAACAUAUCUCAUCAAUUGCUUUGGUAAUAUAUUUUUU